GGCGAAUUGACCUGUUUAAGGUCCGUAGACAGAAGGCUUGAACAGGGGGUUGUACAAGAUACCGGCACAUGUAAAGCGCAUGCGUACGCGUGCGCAGUGCUAUGCUAGUGGUCGGAAGAUGGCGUUGAGAAUGUUCGACUCGGAGACUGCUGCAGUGCACUGGAAAAAUCGUGUUUAAUCUCCGUUUUAGAAAAUGAAAGAUUUGGGGGUGACAAACCUGCUUCAGGAGUGGGACUUCCCACAUUUAGUUCCAAUCUUUAGAGUUAAAUGUUGCAGAAGAUGAGCACGAAGAAGACACCUACUGGAUGCAAUAUUACUCAUCACCUGACAACAUUGUUGUUAAUGUGACGAACCUCGGUACCGAGAUAUGAGUUGACUAGAGGAAACCCGCGACCAAGCACAGCAGAAAUUCUUGACAAAUAUCUACAGCUUUUGGGAAUGAUUGAUCAAGACUUUGAUUUAACAAUUGAUGCAGCUCCUGGUGCCCUUUUCACAAUGUGGCCAAAGUUGUCCAGGCAGACUUUGGAAUUUGCGGAGAAGAUUAAUCCAGGGUAUAGAAAGAUCCUAGGGGCUGGAGUGGACCAGAAAAUGACGCAGAGUAAGUUUUAGUCUUAUAGUUAUACUCAAUUCAAACUUACAGUAGCAGUGCGAAGACUUUUACAAAGCUGCAUCAAUUAGCA